rnacentral:ncRNA from 1 species
GACGACCGGCCGGACACCAGCGUGCUCGGCCCACAAGUGGAGGCUCCGAACUCCCACCUGACGCCCCCAGGGCGGCGGGUCAUCCGGUCAGACGGCCGCCAUCGUUCCGUACGGACGAUGGAGCGCCGUCCGAAAGCGCGCCCCGCGGUCUCGCGGCGGUGCUCCGGUAGUGCGAGGAGCCCCGUCUGUGAUCGUCCGGGGCAUUUUUU